rnacentral:lncRNA from 1 species
AAAACAACAGUUCCCGACUCUGUACCACCUGCUUCAAUGCAAGCCAGGGCCCGGAGUGAUGCAACCCACAAGCGUGGAAGGGGCUGGCGGAUGGGCUGUCUCGGGGCUGAUCUGAUGUCAGAGCAGAUCAUGUGGUGCUCUGUGGGCAGCAGGGACUGGCCCGCGGGAAGCACAUGGAUUACAGUCUGAGGCUGUGAUGGGAAAGUCGGAUCCUGGGCUGUUGUCUCACACACAUCAGCAGGCGGGGAAGCUGGGGACUCCGACUCGCCCUGCCCGGGCCCUCCUGCUGCGUGGUCACAGGCAAUCGCUGAGAGAAGCUGCUGCUCCAACCUGAUUAAAGUGAAUUGAUUUCAGAUUCUGUAACCCUGUGUUGGACUUGUUUUCUAUGUGGCAAGCGAGGGGUGCGGAGAGGGUGGGCUCUCCCUCCGUCAACAUCACUGCUUCUUAAGAUUCAGGUUGUGUUUGUGCCAGAGGAAUAUAGUGGUUGCCACCCUUCCUUGCUGUGGGAGUACCGUGCUACCUCAUGCCUCAGGCUGGAUCCUCAGCUCUCCAGUAUCCUACGUGUGGCCUUUCUGGAGUAUGAGAGCAGAGAUGGAAUAGCAUCUUACUGUUCCUUCCGGCAUAUUACACUCAACCUCCUUCACAGGCUGGAAAUAAAUAUGUGUACUUGGAAGGCAAAAGGUUGAUGGCUAAAACACCUGUACCAAUAUAUAAACCAACAAGGAAUCUGCUUCAACCCAAUUUAUAAAUAACAGUUUUACAUGGCACAGGAGCUUUAGAAAUGAAGACCCAGAGAAACAGGUAAACAUGUUUUCCCACUUUGGUGUGUGAGGUAGAAAGAUGUAGAGAGCUUUGAUGAUGCCCAGAAGCAGAGGUGACACACAGGUGUAGGCUGAAGGUAGUAGGCCUGGGGAGCAUAGCAAGAUUUGUUUCUUCAAAGGUAAGAGGGUUUCUUUCCUUCAGGUAUAGCGUUAGCACCUCCCUGGAGGGGAGAUGGGCUGGUUAUCAGAGAACACAUUUUCAGCUUUGCUUUCCUCAAAUGUCAAGUGCUAUAUUUUGGGGUGGUGUCUCCUGAUGCUAGGUGUUGGAUGUCUAACACUUUCAGUUGCAAGGCCCUGUUUUAACACUUUGUUUUUAUGGACAUUUCACAGACGAUAGAUAGAUAGAUGGAUCUGACUGGUCACAUGACUGUCAGUAGCCAUUCCACAUAGGUCCCUCUAAGUCAAAAGCUCUCUCUCUCUCUCUCUCUCUCUCUCUCUCUCUCUGUAUGUGUGUGUCCCUCCCUCCCUCCCUUCCUUCCUUUUUUGAGACAGGGUGUCUCCAUGUAGCCCUGCUGUGUGGAACUCACUAUGUGAACUAGGUUGGCCUUGAAUUUAGCGAUCUUUUUGUUUUUAAAAGCAUGCCCCACCAAACCCAGUUAAGGCUGUUUCUUAAGGCCCAUUCCUAUCAAUUAUAAAUUGCUAUAGAGUUGU